UACAGAGGUGGCAAGCGUUGUUCGGAAUUACUGGGCGUAAAGGGCGAGUAGGCGGCGUUCUAAGUCAGACGUGAAAUCCCCCGGCUCAACCUGGGAACUGCGUCUGAUACUGGGAGGCUAGAGUAUGGGAGAGGGAUGUGGAAUUCCAGGUGUAGCGGUGAAAUGCGUAGAUAUCUGGAGGAACACCGGUGGCGAAGGCGGCAUCCUGGACCAUAACUGACGCUGAUCCGCGAAAGCUAGGGGAGCAAACGGGG
rnacentral:rRNA from 1 species